rnacentral:rRNA from 1 species
CGGGGUGAGUAAUGCCUAGGAAUCUGCCUGGUAGUGGGGGACAACGUUUCGAAAGGAACGCUAAUACCGCAUACGUCCUACGGGAGAAAGCAGGGACCUUCGGGCCUUGCGCUAUCAGAUGAGCCUAGGUCGGAUUAGCUAGUUGGUGAGGUAAUGGCUCACCAAGGCGACGAUCCGUAACUGGUCUGAGAGGAUGAUCAGUCACACUGGAACUGAGACACGGUCCAG